AUUUUACCUUGUUGCUUCGGCGGGCCCGCCUUAACUGGCCGCCGGGGGGCUUACGCCCCCGGGCCCGCGCCCGCCGAAGACACCCUCGAACUCUGUCUGAAGAUUGUAGUCUGAGUGAAAAUAUAAAUUAUUUAAAACUUUCAACAACGGAUCUCUUGGUUCCGGCAUCGAUGAAGAACGCAGCGAAAUGCGAUACGUAAUGUGAAUUGCAAAUUCAGUGAAUCAUCGAGUCUUUGAACGCACAUUGCGCCCCCUGGUAUUCCGGGGGGCAUGCCUGUCCGAGCGUCAUUGCUGCCCUCAAGCACGGCUUGUGUGUUGGGCCCCGUCCUCCGAUCCCGGGGGACGGGCCCGAAAGGCAGCGGCGGCACCGCGUCCGGUCCUCGAGCGUAUGGGGCUUUGUCACCCGCUCUGUAGGCCCGGCCGGCGCUUGCCGAUCAACCCAAAAUUUUAUCCAGGUUGACCUCGGAUCAGGUAGGGAUACCCGCUGAACUUAAGCAUAUCAUAGG
rnacentral:rRNA from 1 species